rnacentral:rRNA from 1 species
CCUACGGGAGGCAGCAGUAGGGAAUCUUCCACAAUGGGCGAAAGCCUGAUGGAGCAACGCCGCGUGAGUGAUGAAGGCCUUCGGGUUGUAAAACUCUGUCAUUCGGGACGAACCGGAGUCUGAGGAAAUGCAGACUCUCUGACGGUACCGGAGGAGGAAGCCCCGGCUAACUACGUGCCAGCAGCCGCGGUAAUACGUAGGGGGCAAGCGUUGUCCGGAUUCACUGGGCGUAAAGCGCGCGCAGGCGGUGAUGUAAGUCUGAGGUGAAAACCCGAAGCUCAACUUCGGGACUGCCUUGGAUACUGCGUCACUUGAGGAUAGGAGAGGCAAGGGGAAUUCCACGUGUAGCGGUGAAAUGCGUAGAGAUGUGGAGGAACACCUGUGGCGAAGGCGCCUUGCUGGCCUAUUUCUGACGCUGAGGCGCGAAAGCGUGGGGAGCAAACAGGAUUAGAUACCCUGGUAGUCCACGCUGUAAACGAUGAGUGCUAGGUGUAGGUGGGCUCAUACCCAUCUGUGCCGAAGCUAACGCAUUAAGCACUCCGCCCUGGGGAGUACGGUCGCGAAGACUGAAACUUAAGGAAUUGACGG